UACGUAGGUGACCAGCGUUGUCCGGAUUUACUGGGCGUAAAGAGCGCGCAGGCGGUCGUUCAAGUCGAGUGUGAAAGCCCCCCGGCUCAACUGGGGAGGGUCACGCGAUACUGAUCGACUCGAAGGCAGGAGAGGGAAGUGGAAUCCCGGUGUAGUGGUGAAAUGCGUAGAUAUCGGGAGGAACACCAGUGGCGAAGGCGACUUCCUGGCCUGUUCUUGACGCUGAGUCGCGAAAGCUAGGGGAGCAAACGGGG
rnacentral:rRNA from 1 species